rnacentral:rRNA from 1 species
GGAUAACUUACCCUUAGGACUGGGAUAACUCUGGGAAACUGGGGAUAAUACUGGAUAUUAGGCUAUGCCUGGAAUGGUUUGCCUUUGAAAUGUUUUUUUCGCCUAAGGAUAGGUCUGCGGCUGAUUAGGUCGUUGGUGGGGUAAUGGCCCACCAAGCCGAUGAUCGGUACGGGUUGUGAGAGCAAGGGCCCGGAGAUGGAACCUGAGACAAGGUUCCAGACCCUACGGGGUGCAGCAGGCGCGAAACCUCCGCAAUGUACGAAAGUGCGACGGGGGGAUCCCAAGUGUUAUGCUUUUUUGUAUGACUUUUCAUUAGUGUAAAAAGCUUUUAGAAUAAGAGCUGGGCAAGACCGGUGCCAGCCGCCGCGGUAACACCGGCAGCUCGAGUGGUAGCUGUUUUUAUUGGGCCUAAAGCGUUCGUAGCCGGUUUGAUAAGUCUUUGGUGAAAGCUUGUAGCUUAACUAUAAGAAUUGCUGGAGAUACUAUUAGACUUGAAGUCGGGAGAGGUUAGAGGUACUACCGGGGUAGGGGUGAAAUCCUAUAAUCCUGGGAGGACCACCUGUGGCGAAGGCGUCUAACUGGAACGAUCUUGACGGUGAGUAACGAAAGCCAGGGGCACGAACCGGAUUAGAUACCCGGGUAGUCCUGGCCGUAAACGAUGUGGACUUGGUGUUGGAAUGGCUUUGAGUUGUUCCGGUGCCGAAGGGAAGCUGUUAAGUCCACCGCCUGGGAAGUACGGUCGCAAGACUGAAACUU